rnacentral:rRNA from 1 species
GGAACCUGGGAGUGAGGGUCGGCGGGAAUGCGGAGGGUGCAAUCGUAUAGAGUAGUGACGGGGCGUAAAGCGUGCGGAGGCGGUUUAUUAAGUCGGUGGUGAAAUCCCUGGGCUGAAGCUGUGAACUGGAGUCGAUACUGGUGAACUAGAGUGCGGGAGAGGGUGGCGGAACUCCGGGUGUAGCGGUGAAAUGCGUAGAUAUCCGGAAGAACACCGAUGGCGAAGGCAACCACCUGGGCCUGCACUGACGCUGAGGUACGAAAGCGUGGGGAGCAAACAGGAUUAGAUACCCGAGUAGUC